rnacentral:lncRNA from 1 species
GGAUUACAGGUGUGCACCACCACGCCUGACUAAUUUUUGUAUUGUUAGUAGAGACGGGGUUUCACCAUGUUGGCCAGGUUGGUGUUGAACUCCUGACUUCAAAUGAUCCACCUGCCUUGGCCUCCCAAAGUGCUGGGAUUACAGGCCUGAGCCACUGCGCCCGGACUUUUUUUUUUUUUUGAGAUGGAGUUUCGCUCUGUCACCCAGGCUGGAGUGUGGUGGCAUGAUCUCGGCUCACUGCAACCUCCACCUCCCAGGGUCAAGUGAUUCUCCUGGGUCAGCCUCCGGAGUAGCUGGGAUUACAGUUUUUCUUCCCAGGGUCUCCCCAAGAGCUGCUUCCUUUGACUCCUGCUGUGUGUAGUUCUGCUGACAAUGACCUGGACAGCUCUGCGCCAUGCACAGCGUCUCUUUUCUCCGACUUACCAAAUUUUAGACACUACUGACUCCUCCAUGUGAAAGAUGGGAAUUCAGCUACAUCACAUUACCCUACAAACUUUAUUGUUAAUAUUUCUUCCCGGUCAGCCCCAAACACUGAAUGUAAAUACGGUCCAACAUCAACCUGCAAACGAACACUGACAUGAAAGUGCAGUUGGAAAGGAUCUCGCAAAGGAACAGAAUCUGGUGAUCCUAAUCGUAAUGAACGUGAUCGCCGGGUAUUGAGAGCUUGCAGGUACCAGGGCUCCGGCACUACGUGUUUCACAGGGGCCACUCGGUAGACCUCUUGGUGACCUUGAGGUCAGGUACCACGUUCCCAUUUUACAGAGGAGGAAACUGAGAUAACCUACGACAGCGAAAAGGUAGCAGAGCUGGGACUGGUGCCCAGGCUCGCCGAGUGGAAAAGCCCUCGGCCACCGUGGAGAGCUCGCUUCCUGUGGUCUGAAGCGUCGCCCCUGCACCGGCUUCUGCUGCCAAGGAUGGCUUUUCCUCACUGGUGCCCACCUACGCUCACUUGUGUCAUGUGGUUAAGCCCUUUUGGCAACAUAAGACCUUUCCCAAGAAUGUGCCUCGGUGCAGAGGAAGACGGUGGGGGCAGGCCCCCUCCCCGGGAUGCUCCACCCUCCCUGACCUCACACGGGUGCAACCUGGGCCGUGGCCGAGACCUGCUGUGUGGCAGACAAUGGGAAGCCUGUGUGUCGUCCUGGGUGCCGGAUUUAGACAAUAUUUAGCUUUCCCUUGGUGGAAAAGCCUUUCCCCUCCUGCUUUGGGCAGGAACUGGUUCCUGUUGGGCGGGGCCUGGCUGCUGCCCCACCCCCACCCGGCCGGGCACCUUGACCGGCAGCUCUCCGGGCUGCUCCCUGCCUGUGUCCCUGAGCACUGACUCCAGAGGUUUAAUCAUUAACGGGCACGUUUGGCCUUCGGUCGUGGGCUGGAAUUUGGGACCUGUGCCCGGGAACAAUGAUCUCCGACACAUUAUUUUGUGUAAAAUCACUUUUAGCUGCCAUUAGCUAAUAAAGCUGGAAUAAAGUGAGGUCC